AACGAACGCUGGCGGCAGGCCUAACACAUGCAAGUCGAGCGCUCACCUUCGGGUGGGAGCGGCGCACGGGUGAGUAACACGUGGGACCCUACCUUGACGUACGGAAUAACUGAGGGAAACUUCAGCUAAUACCGUAUACGCCCUACGGGGGAAAGAUUUAUCGGUUCAAGACGGGCCCGCGUCGGAUUAACAAGUUGGUGAGGUAACGGCUCAUCAAGGAAACGAUCCAUAGCUGAUGAGAGAGAAUGAUCAGCCACACUGGGACUGAGAAACGGCCCAGACUCCUACGGGAGGCAGCAGUGGGGAAUAUUGGACCAUGGGCGCAAGCCUGAUCCAGCCAUGCCGCGUGAGUGAUGAAGGCCUUCGGGUUGUAAAGCUCUUUCAGAUGGGACGAUGAUGACGGUACCAUCAGAAGAAGCCCCGGCUAACUUCGUGCCAGCCGCCGCCGUAAAAC
rnacentral:rRNA from 1 species